GUAACCGAAACAGCCUGACACGUGAAGGUAGCUGAACGCUGCAUCAGAUAAUGAGAAGAUACUCUUGUCAUCUUAAGAAAUUUCCUGUACAACUGCCCAAUGUUUCUUGGUUGAGAUGAUGUGAAGUGAAGAUGUUGAAAACAGAUUUCUCCAUGACUACAAAGGCUACUGUAGUGGAUCUGCCAGAAGUUGAGAACUCAGGCGAACUUGGUGGAGGCCAGGUUAGAGGACAGAGUUCUUGUUCCACUUGCAAUGUGUUACAGAUCAAACUCCUUUGGCAUUAACAUUCUUAAGUGCCGUCUUUUGCCGGAAAAGUGCAC